UCUCUUGCCGUUCGUUGUCUAGGACUUGCUCAGACUUGCAAGCUCCUCGAUCAACUUCUGUUCUUCGCUGCUUAAUCUCUUUCGGAUCUCCACCUGCACACGAACCAACUGAUCUCCCCUGCCGUUCUGCUUUCCGAGGAUAAAUCAAACCAUUCUGCACUAUAUGAAGUUGAAAUCAAUUGGGGAAAAAAAGACUUCGCAAGAUGAGAAGCUCAAUCCAAAACAAAGAGGGUAUGUGAUUUCUACAGUCCUGACCUUCUAUCUUAUCAAUAAAACCUGUUCAUGUACUACUUUAUAUGUUUUCACUUCUCAGCUGCAACAGAGUUAUUAUAUGCCUA